GAGGGUACAGCUCAGUGGUAGAGCAUGUGCUUAGCAUGCACGAGGUCCUGGGUUCAAUCUUCAGUGCCUCCA
rnacentral:tRNA from 1 species